AUCUUCACUAAAAAAAAAACAAACAAACAACACCAAACAGAAUCGAAAAAAAAAUGGAAAUCGACGGUGGCACGUGCAUGACACGCGCCACACUGGAAAGGAGUUGUUUGGCCGAUCAAGAUGUUACCGGAGUUGCUGGGCCCUGAGCUGCCCCUCAUGGCGUCAACGAAAGAUGAAUCGCUGUGGUUUGAGAACCCCACGCGUUUCCUUUAAAUAGCGCGUCGGUGCAAUGCGUAGCUUCGAUUGGCUUCCAAUCCGGUCGACUACAAGAUCGGCGGGUGAGGCUUCUCCCGGUGGUACGCGUGUCUGACGAUGGUCACCGGAGAAGCUUGAAACGGCUACCCCCUUUAUUCGGCCAAAAACUUGGAAAAAAAAUAAAAUAAUAAUAAUCAAACCAAACC